AGAGUUUGAUCCUGGCUCAGAUUGAACGCUGGCGGCAGGCUUAACACAUGCAAGUCGAGCGGAAACGGCAUAGGCAAUCCCUUCGGGGUGCGCUUAUGGACGUCGAGCGGCGGACGGGUGAGUAAUGCCUGGGAAUCUGCCUGGUAGUGGGGGAUAACUUGCCGAAAGGUAAGCUAAUACCGCGUACGCCCUACGGGGGAAAGCAGGGGAUCUUCGGACCUUGCGCUAUCAGAUGAGCCCAGGCCGGAUUAGCUAGUUGGUAGGGUAAAGGCCUACCAAGGCGACGAUCCGUAGCUGGUCUGAGAGGAUGAUCAGCCACACCGGGACUGAGACACGGCCCGGACUCCUACGGGAGGCAGCAGUGGGGAAUAUUGGACAAUGGGGGGAACCCUGAUCCAGCCAUGCCGCGUGUGUGAAGAAGGUCUUCGGAUUGUAAAGCACUUUAAGUUGGGAGGAAGAGCUCCGGGCUAAUACCCUGCGAGUUUUGACGUUACCAACAGAAUAAGCACCGGCUAACUUCGUGCCAGCAGCCGCGGUAAUACGAAGGGUGCGAGCGUUAAUCGGAAUUACUGGGCGUAAAGCGCGCGUAGGUGGUUUGUUAAGUUGGAAGUGAAAGCCCCGGGCUCAACCUGGGAAUUGCUUUCAAAACUGACGGGCUAGAGUACGGUAGAGGGUAGUGGAAUUUCCUGUGUAGCGGUGAAAUGCGUAGAUAUAGGAAGGAACAUCAGUGGCGAAGGCGACUGCCUGGACUGAUACUGACACUGAGGUGCGAAAGCGUGGGGAGCAAACAGGAUUAGAUACCCUGGUAGUCCACGCCGUAAACGAUGUCAACUAGUUGUUGGGGGUCUUGUACCUUUAGU
rnacentral:rRNA from 1 species